AACUGAAUUUGAUUAUUUUCAACGGGUCAAGAUGGCGGAGGAGAGCAGGUUGAAGCAUCGGAAUCACUCUCCGCAAAAUUGCAAAAACAGCAUUUUCGGCGAAGGUGAGCAUGGGGUGGAGGGUGUGCCUCAUAAGAUGAGCCCUGAGGAAGAGGAGGUCCUGUUGUCGGAGGAAGAGGCCUUGUCGGCCAGGCCGGUCCAGAUCGUUGUGGCUCACGAGGACGACCACGCCUUUGAGCUCGACGAGGCGGCGCUGGAGCGCAUCCUGCUGCAGGAGCAUGUACGCGACCUCAACGUGGUGGUGGUGUCGGUGGCCGGUGCCUUCCGCAAGGGCAAGUCCUUCCUGCUGGACUUCAUGCUGCGCUUCAUGUACAACCAGACAUCUUGCUCCUGGCUGGGUGGGCACGAGGAGCCACUGACGGGCUUCACCUGGCGGGGGGGCUGCGAGAGGGAGACCACAGGCAUCCUGGCCUGGAGCGAGGUGUUUGUGGUGGACAAGCCAGACGGGAGCAAGGUUGCUGUUCUUCUAAUCGACACACAGGGGGCUUUCGACAGCCAAUCGACCAUCAAAGAUUGUGCGACGCUGUUUGCGUUGAGCACCAUGACCAGCUCUGUACAGGUUUACAACUUGUCUCAGAAUGUGCAGGAAGACGACCUUCAACAUCUCCAGCUCUUUACUGAAUAUGGGAGGCUGGCCUUGGAAGAAAUCUACGAGAAACCAUUUCAGACUUUAAUGUUUCUUAUAAGAGACUGGAGCUACCCUUACGAGCAUUCUUACGGCUUAGAGGGAGGGAAGAGUUUCCUGGAGAAGAGAUUACAAGUGAAACAGAACCAGCACGAGGAGCUGCAGAAUGUCAGGAAGCACAUCCACUCCUGCUUCUCGAACAUAGGCUGCUUCCUCCUGCCACACCCCGGCCUCAAGGUGGCCACCAACCCCAACUUUGAUGGCAGACUCACAGAUAUUGAUGACGAUUUCAAGACUGAGCUCGUCAACCUAGUGCCCAUCUUGUUGUCCCCGGAGAACUUGGUGGAGAAAGAAAUCGGAGGAUCCAAAGUGACGUGCCGAGACCUUGUACAGUAUUUUAAAGCAUACAUGAAAAUAUACCAAGGGGAGGAGCUGCCUCAUCCCAAGUCAAUGUUACAGGCAACGGCUGAAGCCAACAACCUCGCAGCUGUUGCAGGAGCAAAAGACAUUUACAACAAAGGCAUGGAGCAGGUGUGCGGAGGCGACAAGCCCUACAUGGCCCCCGAUCAACUGGAGUGCGGCCACGCGAACCUGCUGAAGGUGGCGGUCAAACACUUCCGCUCGGUCAAGAAAAUGGGCGGCGAGGACUUCUGCCGGUGCUACCAGGAGCAGCUGGAAGCAGAGCUGGACGAGGCCUUCACUAACUUCAUCAAACACAACGAUGGCAAGAACAUCUUCUACGCUGCGCGCACGCCCGCCACGCUCUUCGCCGUCAUGUUCGCCAUGUACGUGGCGUCGCUGGUCACAGGCUUCCUGGGUAUCAACACAGUGGCCACGGUGUGUAAUCUCAUAAUGGGCGUGGCACUGGCUGCGCUCUGCCUUUGGGCCUAUGUGAAGUAUUCCGGCGAGUUCCGCGAGGUGGGCAGUGUCAUCGACCAGGUGGCCGAGACCCUGUGGGAGCAGAGAGCGUUUGCUCCCAAGCUCUUUGUCCUGUUCUUUUCCUAACCUGUUUGAAUGUGACCGAAUGUGAUUCUCUUUCCUCCCCCUCAAACCAGAAUCUUCCCAAAUCAAGUUUAUUUUCCUCAUCAGCCUCUCUUCCCUUUCCUUGUUCCCCAUCUGCCUUUGUCUCUCUGGUUGCACCCUGAUUCUUUACCCUUUCUCCAGAUGUGUGCGCCCGCCAUGGAUUUAAAAUAAAUGUAUUGGUGUAAGCGUUGGCUUGAGGGAAUUUCAACCAUUGUUAAAUCCAUGAGAGGGAGGGUGCAAGUGCACACUUUGGAAGGAGGGAAAGAUAAUUGGGACACCUCCCUCACUACUUUCCCCACUAAUUAGUCUUCCCUCUUUUUGUCUUUAAAAAAAAACUUUGUGCUUGCCACAGAGGACGCCACGAAAGAUCUUUUCCAAACUCUUUGAGGUGGCGAGGAGUCGAGUCCAGUUGGAUUCCUUGAUAACGGCCCAGAGAACGAGACUGGCCUCGAACAACAAUGUCAAGAAGAAAAACUAGCACCU